GGAAGUAAAAGUCAUAACAAGGUUUCCGUAGGUGAACCUGCGGAAGGAUCAUUCAUAAUAAAGUGUUUUAUGGCACUUUUUAAAAAUCCAUAUCCACCUUGUGUGCAAUGUUAGAUCUCGUCAAUCUUGGCGAGAUUUUUAUACAUCAACUCAUUUUUUAACUAAUUUGUCUGAAAAAUAUUAUGAAUACUUAAUUCAAAAUACAACUUUCAACAACGGAUCUCUUGGCUCUC
rnacentral:misc_RNA from 1 species